GUGAGAUAUCGUUCCGGGGUCGUUCACCGGCGGACUGAGGAAACGCUGGUCUGGACAGCUGCACCGGCUCCCUUCUGUGCUCAAGACCAAUGGAAAACACUCCGGAGAUUCAACAUGAUAUUUGAAUUUUAUGGAUUUCCAUCUGUCACAUUAAUGAAGAAUUUUAUUUCUUUCUCCAUCUUUCUGAUGACCC